UUUAACAAAUCCGUUAAAAACCCAGAAAAGACCAUCUCUUUCUCGAUAAAAAUGGCGUCUUCAGAAUCAAUGGAAGACAAAGCAUUUUCAGAGAGAGUGAAGAAAACAUUUGGCUCCCUUUUCGCAAGUCUAGAACCUUCUCCUAAAUCUCUUUCAAACCCACUUUGGUCUCUCACUGAUUCUCAGGUUGAGAAGAAAGAAUGGCGUCGUGAAAUCGACACUUCUAGAGAUUCCAACCCUUGUUCUUCUUCCUUCGAUGAUUUUCUGUCUCAUGCCCGUAAAAAUUCCCGCAAAAAUCUCCAGAAUUAUCGCAAGGAGCUUCAGGACGAUGAUCUUCGAGAUCUUGAUGGUGAUGGUGAUGGUGAUGAUGAAGAAGGUGAAGAUGGUGGUGAUAAGGUUGAUUUGAAUGAUUUGGAUGUUAAAGCUUCUAUUGGCUUGGAUUCUACUCUUGAUAAUGAGGAUGAAGAAGAUACUUUUGACAAAGUUGCCUUAGGAAGGGAGAAUGCUGGUGAUCGGUUGUAUAUGAGGGAUGUUACUGGUGGUCAUGAUUCACAUUUUAGCGCUUUGGAUGACCUCCCUGGUGCUGUUGGGAUUCUUGGGAACAAGGGGAAGGAUCCUCGUGCUAAUCGCCAGGCUGCAAGGAUUAGACUGAAAGAAGAUGAUGCAGAAGCUGCUGCACAGGCAGAACGUAAACCGGAGCAGUCUCCUUCAACUGCUGAAAGAGAUUCUUCUGUGUCAACUGGAGGUCUUGACAAACUGAAGCCUAUAUUAAAAAGAAAGGAGCGUGAAUCAAUUUCAAAGCCGUCGAAACGUGUCAGGUUUGACCCUCUUUGUAUAAGCAAUGAUGAGAGAGCUAGUGAAAUUCCAAGUAAUAAGGCUGAAACUACGGUCCAAGUUAAUGGGGCGGAGUUGAAUCAGAAUGUUUCUCGAGUUCCAGAUCAUGUUCAAAAUCCUUCCAAAUACACAUGCUAUACUCUUGAUUCCACUGAGGAAAUGGGCAAUAAGUCAAAUACAGGUGCUUACUUGGAGUUUGUUGAGAUGAUGAAGGCAAAGAAUUCUGUGUCAGGAUCUGACUCGGAUGUUCCUACUGAUCUCCCCAAAUCAGUGACCUUUGUUCCUAAGAAAAAGUCUGAUACUUCGAAAGGUGCUCAUAAUGAUGAAAGUCUAGAGAAAGGAAGUGAUGCAAAGUGUACCCCAUUGCAAUCAACCUUUCUCGAUAUGGCAGCUGAGGACCAGGAGACUGAAGCUGGUGACAUGGACAUUGAUGAACCUGAAACAAGUGCAGAGUCCGACAAAGGCAUCGUGUUUAGGAAACAGGGUCGUCAGUAUCGAAAGCCCCAGGCAGAUGAGCCUGUGUAGUGGGGCGUGGCUUGUAGUUGCCUGUUGAACUAUUAUUUUGCACGACUGCUCUUUUUGGCGAAGGUUGGCUCAUUUGUGGAAAGCUAUUAUUUUAAAAAAUAUGAAAAGCCACGCCGUGGAUGGAAUUUUCUACUUGCAUAGUCUCGAGAUAUUCACUUGUACUUAUUAUAUUGAAGAUUCUGACUCCUGUGAGUAUAGGAAGUCCUGUAUCAUCUGGUUGGGCUGAAUUCUUUCGCUCAGGUCCCAGGUCAGACAAGAAAGAUGCCUGAUAUUUUCUCAUGCCUGACAUCAAGAGAUCCCCUUUUUUGCUCUGUCAUUGUGAAGAAAUUAUAGCGCUGAAUCUAUACUGCAGCCUGCAGCAUGGACGCAUGGUAAAAUAAAAGCGUCGGAGAUUCUAAGACUCCACAGGAAGCCCUUUUUUAUCUGGUUGUGCUGAGGACUGCUGACUUCUUUGGCUUAGGUUCCGAGCCAGGGUAGAACAAACCAUUUAUUUUCAUGCCUAACGAUUCAUGCCUAAAGGCCCCCCUUUUGCUCUUUUGCCAAUUUGAGGAAAACUGCAUAUCUCAAUCACAAAGCCACAUCUGACUCUUGAGUUUUUAUCAGAGAGCUGAUAUUAUUUAUUUUACUGCAUCUGAUCUGAAAUAUUUUCCUCUGUAGAGUCUGUACUGAAGAAAUAUAUAGUGCAGCAAAGCUGACCCAUCGUAAUGGCCCUUUUACUCUAUUGCAAACUUUGAUCU